rnacentral:tRNA from 1 species
GGAUGUAGCUUAGUUGGUAAAGUGCUUGCCUAGCAUGUACAAAGUCCUGGGUUCGAGUCCCAGGGCAUCUA